rnacentral:rRNA from 1 species
ACGACUCUCGGCAAUGGAUAUCUCGGCUCUCGUAUCGAUGAAGAACGUAGCGAAAUGCGAUACCUGGUGUGAAUUGCAGAAUCCCGCGAACCAUCGAGUCUUUGAAUGCAAGUUGCGCCCGAGGCCACCCGGUCGAGGGCACGUCUGCCUGGGCAUCACGC